rnacentral:rRNA from 1 species
GACAGAGGUGCCGAGCGUUAGGCGGAAUCACUGGGCUUAAAGCGUGUGUAGGCGGGCGGGCAAGUACCUUGUGAAAUCCCACGGCUCAACCGUGGAACGGCUGGGUAUACUGCCUGUCUUGAGCCAACUAGGGGCGAGCGGAACAGACGGUGGAGCGGUGAAAUGCGUAGAUAUCGUCUGGAACGCCGAAGGUGAAAACAGCUCGCUGGGAUUGUGCUGACGCUGAGACACGAAAGCCAGGGGAGCGAACGGG